GCAUCCUUAUUCAGAUUUGGUGACGUGGCGAGGCACGUCGGGGCCCGGGCGGCCAAUGGGCGCGCCGUGGCCAUGGCAACCUCUUAAAUUUAUAGCAUAUCUAAAUUGGCUACAGCGUUGCGGUCCGGACAGAGCAAAAAAAACAAGGCAUCAGUAUUGUUGAGUAUUAGCUUGUACCUGGUUCCGAGGCUAAGUGACACGUUGACUGGGGACAGACUGUGGGCGACUGGACAGUAAAACGAAUUCCAAACCCAAACUGAACCUGCCACCGUGACUCCCAGCUCCCAACCGGCGUCCUAACACCUCGUGAGACAGAGUCGAGGUUUGGCGGAGCAGGCAGGGGGCGAGCGGUCGCUGCACGGCUGGGCGCGGGCGCCGGAGUUCGGACCGAGACAAAGGCGGGAGCUGUCCGCGGUGCUGAACCCGUCCGCGGCCGCAGGGGCAAGGGGGCUCCUGCAACCGGCCCUCUCCCUCUCGCUCUCCUUUUCCUCUUCCUCCUUCACUCCGGGGCUCCUGCCUUCUCCUGCGUUUAUUUCCCUCCUUUUGCCUCUCCUUAGAACCCCCGACCUGUACGCAGGUAUAUACAUACCCAUAUAUUUAUUAUUUUUCCUAUCAAACAAAAUGAUUGAUUAAAAACGUGUCUUCUCCUUUCUUCCCAAAUGAAUGAUUUAAGAACGGCUCAUUUUAAAUGUUCUCUAAACCAGAUAUAAAUAGCUAUUCCCACCGCCAAAGAAGUGGAAAUUCGUGUUUAAAACAAUAGACCUG
rnacentral:lncRNA from 1 species